UCGUAUGCGACGCGGAGGGACAUUACCGAGUUUACAACUCCCAAACCCCUGUGAACAUACCUAUAUGUUGCCUCGGCGGAUCAGCCCGCGCCCCGUAAAACGGGACGGCCCGCCGCAGGAUCCACAAACUCUGUUUUUAUUGUAACUUCUGAGUAACAAAACAAAUAAAUCAAAACUUUCAACAACGGAUCUCUUGGUUCUGGCAUCGAUGAAGAACGCAGCAAAAUGCGAUAAGUAAUGUGAAUUGCAGAAUUCAGUGAAUCAUCGAAUCUUUGAACGCACAUUGCGCCCGCCAGUAUUCUGGCGGGCAUGCCUGUUCGAGCGUCAUUUCAACCCUCAAGCCCUCGGGUUUGGUGUUGGGGAUCGGGCUGUACUCCAGCCCGCCCCCGAAAUCUAGUGGCGGUCUCGCUGCAGCCUCCAUUGCGUAGUAGCUAACACCUCGCAACUGGAACGCGGCGCGGCCAUGCCGUUAAACCCCCAACUUCUGAAUGUUGACCUCGGAUCAGGUAGGAAUACCCGCUGAACUUAAGCAUAUCAAUAAGCGGAGGAAAAGAAACCAACAGGGAUUGCCCUAGUAACGGCGAGUGAAGCGGCAACAGCUCAAAUUUGAAAUCUGGCUCUCGGGCCCGAGUUGUAAUUUGUAGAGGAUACUUUUGAUGCGGUGCCUUCCGAGUUCCCUGGAACGGGACGCCAUAGAGGGUGAGAGCCCCGUCUGGUUGGAUGCCAAAUCUCUGUAAAGUUCCUUCGACGAGUCGAGUAGUUUGGGAAUGCUGCUCUAAAUGGGAGGUAUAUGUCUUCUAAAGCUAAAUACCGGCCAGAGACCGAUAGCGCACAAGUAGAGUGAUCGAAAGAUGAAAAGCACUUUGAAAAGAGAGUUAAAAAGUACGUGAAAUUGUUGAAAGGGAAGCGUUUAUGACCAGACUUGGGCUUGGUUAAUCAUCUGGGGUUCUCUCCAGUGCACUUUUCCAGUCCAGGCCAGCAUCAGUUUUCGCCGGGGRWUAAAGACUUCAGGAAUGUGGCUCCUCUCGGGGAGUGUUAUAGCCUGUUGUGUAAUACCCUGGCGGGGACUGAGGUUCGCGCUCUGCAAGGAUGCUGCGAAGACGAGUCUU
rnacentral:rRNA from 1 species